rnacentral:lncRNA from 1 species
UUUUCUCUCACUACUCUCUCUUUACAUCUCUCUCUCGGUCUCUUUAAACCCAAGCCGAAGGAACAAGUUUACGUGAGCUCGCAAGAAUAAACCCCAUUAAUUCUCUCUGGCAGAAGACUUGGAGGGACUUUUUCUCUGCAAUUCUCUCCACUCACUCUCUUUCUUCUCAUUGACUUUCCUUUGGUCGGUUCAAUGGAAAGCAAAAGAGAGAAUUCCACUCAUUCUCUCUCAUUCAUGGAUUUUCACGAACACAUACGGACUUGUUCUCAUCUUCAUGGAGUCAUCGCCGAAGCUUGACAUCUGGAAUGAAGUAGACGCACGCUUGCACAUAAACAAGCUCGAUCGGAUGAAGAUUCAUCUCUUCGAACUCUCCAUUACUUGAUCACAGCAGCAAGACGGAAGCUAAGUCUUCUUUCCUAUUCUCUAGCUUUGACUUUGAUGCGAUCGAUUAGUUGAUUUUCCUAGCGAUCUUAAGCUACCGUGAUAGUUUAUUCUCAGAUCGUGCUUUGAUCUUGAUUAGUUUCCUUUCAUCAGAUUUUGUUGAUUCGAUUUCGCUGAUUUUGCUGAAGAAGGGGUUGAGAAAAUGCAUCUACAUUGCCACUCCAAAGAGGCAUAUAUGAUCUUCAAAUCGGCUGCCGAGGCGUUCAUUCGAGGAGCUCGUGGAUCACAAGUUUAAUUCUCAUAACCAUUUAUGAGAUCAUAGCAACAAGACUGAAGUGAUCUUAUGCUAUUGUGAUGGCUUCAUCUCGGAUUGUACCUUGAUUAUAAUCAGUGCAAAAUUAAAAGCCAAUGUUCUUCAUUUUCCAGAAGUUCCAGAAAUGAAAUUGAAGCAUUGAAGCCAAGUGUUUGAUUUACUCUUUUCUGCUUUGGUUAUGGAAUGUUAUUAGAUUCAGAUCCUCCAUUGAUUUCAAU